AUUCUGAAGUUUCGCUCUAUACCUUUUUACAUACCUAUAACUGUUGCUUCGGCGGAGGGUCUCCGUGACCCUCCCGGCCUCCCGCCCCCGGGCGGGUCGGCGCCCGCCGGAGGAUAACCAAACUCUGAUUUAACGACGUUUCUUCUGAGUGGUACAAGCAAAUAAUCAAAACUUUUAACAACGGAUCUCUUGGUUCUGGCAUCGAUGAAGAACGCAGCGAAAUGCGAUAAGUAAUGUGAAUUGCAGAAUUCAGUGAAUCAUCGAAUCUUUGAACGCACAUUGCGCCCGCCAGCAUUCUGGCGGGCAUGCCUGUUCGAGCGUCAUUUCAACCCUCAAGCUCUGCUUGGUGUUGGGGCCCUACAGCUGAUGUAGGCCCUCAAAGGUAGUGGCGGACCCUCCCGGAGCCUCCUUUGCGUAGUAACUUUACGUCUCGCACUGGGAUCCGGAGGGACUCUUGCCGUAAAACCCCCAAUUUUCCAAAGGUUGACCUCGGAUCAGGUAGGAAUACCCGCUGAACUUAAGCAUAUCAAUUAACGGAGGAA
rnacentral:rRNA from 1 species